AUGGGGGGUAAAGGGGUGGCAGAACAGAGAAAACUUUGGGAGGAGGCAGGUUCCAAAAAUAUCCAUGAUCAUGGACCCAGGAGGCCCUCAGGAAACCCUCUAAGUGCUUACUUGCCUCUCUCUCUCUCUCUCUCUCUCUCCACUGCAGAAUGGCUUCGAGUCCCCAGCCAUCUAUGUGAGUAUUGCAAGAGACCAGGACCUCCAUCACAACAGGAGCUAACAGGCAGUCCUCCUUUCCCUGGGCUCCCAAGCAGGAAGAAAAUCAGGAGCCAUCCCUUCCCUGAGGAACCCGCCCUAGGCCUGAGCCAUAUCUGCUGCCUUGGGCUGGAGAGGGUGUGGGAAAGAUGUGUGUGGGGUGUGUGUGUGGGGGGGGAGUGUCUCGGGAAUAUCCGUCCCUGUCCUGCUCCAGCCCCUGUCCCCAGGGUGUAUCCUCUUCCUCCUCAAAAUGGCUCCCACAUGACCUGGGCUCCUUCCUCUGCUGCAGACUCAGGGCCCUGGACAAUCUGGGAGAGACUGAGGUGUAGUGGGGGGAAGAUGUGGUGGUGGGAGCAGAGCAGGACUCAGGUAACCCUCAUUCUCUCUGUUUUUCAGGAACCUCUGGGUGCCUCAGGCAACCAUGAGAGCUUCGACUGGAACAGGGUCGGCCACAACAGCUUCAAUGACAACGGGGACUCCUGAGAAGUUUCACACCUGCUGAUUUCCCCCAUCAUCCCAAAUCUGCCUGGUCAUUGAAGAAUUUUGCUUAAAGAAUGCAAAGACCCCACGUCUUCUCCCUGGUGCACUGCAAAUAAACCUGGAUCUUACACCA
ensembl:lncRNA